AUCGUAGUCACACUGCUAGGGGCCCACAAAUAGACCAAAAUGAACAACUAUCAUCAACAUGCAGAGGGCCUAGGUAGGUCCCAUGCAAGCUCCUAAGCUGCUAAUAUUUAUGUUUUCUUA